GAUGAACGCUGGCGGCGUGCCUAAUACAUGCAAGUCGAGCGAACGUACGAGAAGCUUGCUUCUCUGAUGUUAGCGGCGGACGGGUGAGUAACACGUGGAUAACCUACCUAUAAGACUGGGAUAACUUCGGGAAACCGUAGCUAAUACCGGAUAAUAUUUUGAACCGCAUGGUUCAAAAGUGAAAGACGGUCUUGCUGUCACUUAUAGAUGGAUCCGCGCUGCAUUAGCUAGUUUGUAAGGUAACGGCUUACCAAGGCAACGAUGCAUAGCCGACCUGAGAGGGUGGACGGGCAAACUGGGAAUGAGGAAGGGUACCGAAUCCGAAGGGAGGCCACAGUAGGGAAUCUUCCGGGAAGGGGCAAAGGCGGAAGGAGGAAAGGCGGGGGAAGGAUGAAGGGUCUCGGAUGGGUAAACUCUGUUAUUAGGGAAGAACAUAUGUGUAAGUAACUGUGCACAUCUUGACGGUACCUAAUCAGAAAGCCACGGCUAACUACGUG
rnacentral:rRNA from 1 species